AUACGGAGGGGGCAAGCGUUAUUCGGAAUUACUGGGCGUAAAGCGCACGUAGGCGGCAAUCCAAGUCAAAGGUGAAAGCCCUCGGCUCAACCGAGGAACUGCCUUUGAAACUGUAUUGCUUGAGUCCGGGAGGGGGGAGCGGAAUUCCCAGUGUAGCGGUGAAAUGCGUAGAUACUGGGAGGAACACCGGUGGCGAAGGCGGCUCCCUGGACCGGUACUGACGCUGAGGUGCGAAAGCGUGGGUAGC
rnacentral:rRNA from 1 species